rnacentral:rRNA from 1 species
AUUGAACGCUGGCGGCAGGCCUAACACAUGCAAGUCGAACGAGUGGCGGAAGGGUGAGCAAUGUAUGGGAAACUGCCUGGUGGAGGGGGAUAACUACUGGAAACGGUAGCUAAUACCGCAUACCAUCAGAUGUGCCCAGAUGGGAUUAAUUAGUAGGUGGGGUAAUGGCGCACCAAGGCGACGACCCCUAGCUGGUUUGAGAGGAUGACCAGCGACACUGGAACUGAGACACGGUCCAGACUCCUACGGGAGGCAGCAGUGGGGAAUAUUGCACAAUGGGCGCAAGCCUGAUGCAUCCAUGCCGCGUGUGUGAAGAAGGCCUUCGGGUUGUAAAGCACUUUCAGCGAGGAGGCGUUACUCGCAGAAGAAGCACCGGCUAACUCCGUGCGAGCGGCCGCGGUAAUUC